AUUGAACGCUGGCGGCAGGCCUAACACAUGCAAGUCGAACGAGUGGCGGACGGGUGAGUAAUGUCUGUGACCCUGCCUUAUGGCUGGGGAUAACUACUGGAAACGGUAGCUAAUACCGCAAACCUUCAGAUGUUCCCAGAUUGCAUUAGCUUGUUGGUGGGGUAAAGGCUCACCAAGGCAACGAUCCCUAGCUGAUCUGAGAGGUUGACCAGACAAACUGGAACGGAGACACGGUCCAGACUCCUACGGGAGGCAGCAGUGGGGAAUAUUGCACAAUGGGCGAAAGCCUGAUGCAGCCAUGCCGCGUGUAUGAAGAAGGCCUUCGGAUUGUAAAGUACUGUCAGCGGGGAGGCGUUACCCGCAGAGGAAGCAACGGCUAACUCCGUGCCAGCAGCCGCGGUAAUAC
rnacentral:rRNA from 1 species